GAGACAGCAGCAGCCGCGGGAAUACAGAGGGUGCGAGCGUUAAUCGGAUUUACUGGGCGUAAAGCGUGCGUAGGCGGCUUCUUAAGUCGGAUGUGAAAUCCCUGAGCUUAACUUAGGAAUUGCAUUCGAUACUGGGAAGCUAGAGUAUGGGAGAGGAUGGUAGAAUUCCAGGUGUAGCGGUGAAAUGCGUAGAGAUCUGGAGGAAUACCGAUGGCGAAGGCAAUCCCCUGGGCCUGUACUGACGCUCAUGCACGAAAGCGUGGGGAGCAAACAGGAUUAGAUACCCGCGUAGUCCCUGUCUCUUAUAC
rnacentral:rRNA from 1 species